rnacentral:rRNA from 1 species
GACGAACGCUGGCGGCGUGCUUAACACAUGCAAGUCGAACGGAAAGGCCCUGCUUUUGUGGGGUGCUCGAGUGGCGAACGGGUGAGUAACACGUGAGUAACCUGCCCUUGACUUUGGGAUAACUUCAGGAAACUGGGGCUAAUACCGGAUAGGAGCUCCUGCUGCAUGGUGGGGGUUGGAAAGUUUCGGCGGGUGGGGAUGGACUCGCGGCUUAUCAGCUUGUUGGUGGGGUAGUGGCUUACCAAGGCUUUGACGGGUAGCCGGCCUGGGAGGGUGAACGGCGUCAUUGGGACUGAGAGACGGCCCAGACUCCUACGGGAGGCAGCAGUGGGGAAUAUGGCACAAUGGGCGGAAGCCUGAUGCAGCAACGCCGCGUGCGGGAUGACGGCCUUCGGGUUGUAAACCGCUUUCGCCUGUGACGAAGCGUGAGUGACGGUAAUGGGUAAAGAAGCACCGGCUAACUACGUG